rnacentral:tRNA from 1 species
UCCCUGGUGGUCCAGCGGUUAAGACUCUGUGCUCACAACGCAGGGGGCCUGGGUUUGAUCCCUGAACAGGGAG